CCUACGGGAGGCAGCAGUGGGGAAUAUUGCGCAAUGGGCGAAAGCCUGACGCAGCGACGCCGCGUGUGGGAUGAAGGUCUUCGGAUCGUAAACCUCUGUCAGCAGGGAAGAACGUGCACUGUUCUAAUCAGCAGUGAAUUGACGGUACCUGCACAGGAAGCACCGGCUAACUCCGUGCCAGCAGCCGCGGUAAUACGGAGGGUGCGAGCGUUAAUCGGAAUUACUGGGCGUAAAGCGCUCGUAGGCGGUAGGUCAAGUCAAUGGUGAAAUCCCCGCGCUCAACGUGGGAACUGCAUUUGAUACUGGCAAGCUGGAGUGUGGGAGAGGAUAGUGGAAUUCCAGGUGUAGGAGUGAAAGGCGUAGAUAUCUGGAGGAACAUCAGUGGCGAAGGCGACUAUCUGGCACAUAACUGACGCUGAGGAGCGAAAGCGUGGGUAGCAAACAGGAUUAGAUACCCUUGUAGUC
rnacentral:rRNA from 1 species